UACUGAGUCGUCGACACGAGUUGUUGCUGGUCCUCAAACAGGGGACAUGUGCACGCUCUGUUUACACAUCCACUCACACCUGUGCACCCUCUGUAGUUCUAUGGUCUGGGGGGCUCUGCCUCCCUUCUGUGGUUCUGCAUCUUUACACACACACUGUAACAAAGUUUUAUGGAAUGUACAUCGCGUUUAACGCAAUAUAAUACAACUUUCAGCAACGGAUCUCUUGGCUCUCGCAUCGAUGAAGAACGCAGCGAAAUGCGAUAAGUAAUGUGAAUUGCAGAAUUCAGUGAAUCAUCGAAUCUUUGAACGCACCUUGCGCCCCUUGGCUAUUCCGAGGGGCAUGCCUGUUUGAGUAUCAUGAACACCUCAACUCUCAUGGUUUUCCGUGAUGAGCUUGGACUUUGGGGGUUUGCUGGCUGCAGUCGGCUCCUCUGAAACAAAUUAGCUUGCCGGUAUUUGGUGGCGUCGCAGGUGUGAUAACUAUCUACGCCCACGGUUGUCUGCCGAGUAACCUCUGGUGACGGAGGUUUGCUGGAGCUUAUAAUUGUCUUUUUUUCAGUAAAGACAGCUUUUUACAGUUCG
rnacentral:misc_RNA from 1 species